rnacentral:lncRNA from 1 species
CACGGAGAACCCACCCUAAAGCCAAGUCACUAUGAUAUCUCCUAGUACAGGUAUGGCGCUAGCUAAGCUUGUAAUUACUGUAGCUCCCCAAAAGCUCAUCUGACCCCAAGGUAGUACAUAUCCUAUAAAAGCUGUCACAAUCAUUAAUAGGAAGAUUACAACUCCGAGACACCGAACAAAUUCCCUAGGACUGCUAUAACUGGCAUGAUAUAGACCACGAAAAAUAUGAAGGUGAACCACAAUGAAAAACAUACUUGCCCCAUUAGCAUGCAUAUAACGGAGCAAGAACUCUGAGACACCGAACAAAUUCCCUUGGACUGCUAUAACUGGCAUGAUAUAGAUCACGAAAAAUAUGAAGGUGAACCACAAUGAAAAAUAUACUUGCCCCAUUAGCAUGCAUAUAACGGAACAACC